UAGGGGGUAAUAUUUAGGUGAUGUAGUUAGGUUUAUAAACUUCUAUAAAUGUUUCUUGAAUUAUUAUUAAAAGUUUAUAAAUGAUUUACCAGUGUUAAUUAUAUCUUUUUAACAAAAAUUAAAAGUAUUUAUGAAAAUGGUCAUCCUUUAAAGAUAUUUUUGAAAAAUGUUAUCAAACUUGUGGUAAAAUUGAAAUUUUCCUUCUUGUUGAGUGAGAGGAAUGAGAUGCUAGUGUGAAAAUCAUAGAUCAGUAUUAUAAUCAGUUCACUUACAGCUAAUUGAUUUUUAGUUGUAAUACAAAAAAAAUUAAUAUAAUGUUACCCACAAAUUAUAAUCUUAAUGGAUCACAAAAUAAUUAUUAUGUUUUCAAAAUCUGUUUUAUAAUAAAGUAAUGAAACAAUGUGUUUUUAAUUUAGAAGAUUUGAAGGGAUGGAGGACUUAUGUAGAAGAUUUGAAUUUUUAGCGAAUUGAUUUAAAUCUAUAAAAAAAUAUGGAGAAAAUCAACCUUGUCGGAUGUUGAGGAAGAAGGAAAUUAGGGAUGGAGAGGAGAGUAUGGGUAAUUUUGAUACUUCUGGGCACAAAUGUAACAGUAUUUUGUCUUUCGGUCAAAUCAUGUAUGGAUUCCUAAUUUUGACAUCAAUCGUAUAUGUUGAAAAAAUUCUCUCUAAAAUCUAUUGUCCAGUGCUAUGAAAAACUGAUAAAAGUACGUAUAUGACAUAAUUUAUAUUAGUUCCUCCUCCGAAAAAAAAUAUGUAUCAACUGUAUUCUAGGGCUCAUCGUAUGCAUAAGUUACACUUUAGUAAAUAGGAUACUAUACUCUCAUAGGUACUGUAUUUUUACACAAACACACUUUAUUGAGACAUAAAAAUGGACCAUAUCAAAUUUGUGAAAAUCAUAAAAAUAAAAUUGAUUAAGGAAAGAUCAAGAAUAAAUUUGA
rnacentral:lncRNA from 1 species